rnacentral:tRNA from 1 species
ACCUGGCUGGCUCAUUUGCUAGAGCAUGUAACUUUUAAUCUCAGGAUGGUGAGUUCAAGUCCCACAUUGGGUG